UAGGGAAUCUUCCGCAAUGGACGCAAGUCUGACGGAGCAACGCCGCGUGAGUGAAGAAGGAUUUCGGUUCGUAAAACUCUGUUGUUAGAGAAGAACAGCGCAUAGAGUAACUGUUAUGCGUGUGACGGUAUCUAACCAGAAAGCCACGGCUAACUACGUGCCAGCAGCCGCGGUAAUACGUAGGUGGCAAGCGUUGUCCGGAUUUAUUGGGCGUAAAGCGAGCGCAGGCGGUCAAUUAAGUCUGAUGUGAAAGCCCCCGGCUCAACCGGGGAGGGUCAUUGGAAACUGGUUGACUUGAGUGCAGAAGAUGAUAGUGGAAUUCCAUGUGUAACGGUGAAAUGCGUAGAUAUAUGGAGGAACACCAGUGGCGAAGGCGACUCUCUGGUCUGUAACUGACGCUGAGGUUCGAAAGCGUGGGUAGCAAACAGG
rnacentral:rRNA from 1 species